GGCAUGCCAAUCUCAGGCUGAACUUAGCUUGAGGUUUCUUUCUGCAACAAGGUUUUUCACUCAUUCCUUAUGACAUCAAACUGGAAAUUAUUUUUGAAAAUCACAAUCUCCAAUCAGAUUGCAACACUGCAAUACAACACCGCUAAAUAUAAUGUAGAAACUUUCAUUUUCUGUAAAGCUGCUUUGCAACGAUUUGCAUCUCGAAAAAGCUCUAUACAAAUAAACGUGAAGCGUGGACAUCCUGCAGUUUAAAAGGCACUGGAUUCUUCACACAGAGAGGUGUGCAGUACACAGCGUCUCUUAGCCAGAUUAACUCCCUGUCAUCAAUCCUGUCCUGUCACGGUAGGCCAGGGGGAGCUCACCCUCGAGGACCACACACGAAUGUUCAUGGAACUCUAUAACUUCAUGCACUACCCAGACAACUGCCUGUGUACCAAGCCUCAACACCGCAACACAGGCCAAGUUGUCUGGGUAUUAUCCUCGGGGCAGUUUCGCCACUUUUGUGGAGUGAGUGCUGGAGAGUAAUGGACUACAUUUCUCUGCUUGCCUUGUUGAGAAGGAUAUCUCCAGCCCCACUCCUGACCUAGAGCCCAGCCCACCAUCACCCCACUGUGCGGAGCAAAUGCCUGAGCCCACCACUGAUGGAGAGCCAUAGCCCGCUGCGACCAAUAAGUCAUCGCCUGAGAGAGUGACAGAGCUGAGGAACGCCCCAGAGCUAAAACCUGAGACGUCAGAUCAGGUGUGAGAGCCAGCAACUGUGCACGCAUUGGUGGAUGAUGCAAGGGAGCACGUGGGCUUGGAGAAAAGACAUGCCCACUGCACCACCGCUGAGGGUGAGCUGCUGCUGGACUCCAUGCAAUUAAUUGACUCUGAUUUGGAUUUAUAUGCAGACAUGCCCAUACUUUUCCCACCAAUCUUAUGAACUCUCAGUCUGUCCUGAACUAUCUGUCUGCCCUGAACUGUCUGCCUGUCCUUAAAUGACCAAAGAGGUUGUUCACUUAUCGCUGGUGCUCCUGGUGCUGGGAGUGGCCUUGUGGUGUGUGUGGGCAGCACACACUGUUCCUAAGCCCCCUGAUCAUCCCCUCCUAUGUAUCAGUCUUCACCAUCACCACCUCUGUCUCCUGGCAGCCCCUCUGCUCACCCUCAGCCCACCAUCUGUGCGGUGUGAUCACCGCAGGUCUGCCAGUCUCCAUCGGUAUCAUGGCUGGAGGAUCGCUUGUCUCAGCCUCUGGCCUCUGAGUUCCGGACUCCACCUUGACCUGUUAACCCAGCGGCUCCAUAAUGGCUCCUAGCUCACUCCUCUCAACCUUGGCCUGUUAGUCCACCAGCUCCGUCGGGCUUCCUCAUCCCUCUGGCUCCACCUUGGUCAGUAGUCAACCAUCCACCACUUUGGAACUCCACUCCUCCGGCUCUGUCAGACUCCUCCUUCCCUCUGGCUCCACCUUGAUCCUCUCUCGCUCUGGCUCAACCGUGGCCUUCCUGAUCCCUGCCUCUGCCUCGGUCACCUGAGCCAUCUGCUCCAACUUUGCCCUCCGGAUCCUCCCCGUUGCCCUGGCUCAUCGGUUCUCCGCCUCGGGCUUUACCACCACCUGCUCCGCCGCCAUCGCUCGGCCCCACUGGAGCCCCCCUUCCUCCACCAUGGCUCCUCCCUCCAUCGGCUCCACCAUGGUUCACCUUCAUGGCUGUGGCCUGGGUCCCGCCUGGCUCCUCCUGCUUCAGCUCCCUCUUGUCUCCAUCCUGUCUCCUUCCUCUGUCUACUCCUCCAUGGUCGAUCCUGUCUCCUCCCUGGCUCCUCCCUCUGUCAGAGCCACCCUGGUCAUCUGUGUGCCUCCUUGCCUGCCGUUCUCCAGCCCUUUGCCCUCCUCCUGAAUCCCCACCCUACCCCCACCUUCUACGGCAUGAGGCCGAUCCUUCUGGGAGAGGGGUGUGAUGUCACAGAUAUUAACUCUGUGUGAACUCAUUUAGUUUCUGUCUUCUGUUCUGGUUUAGGUUCCUGUUUGCCCAUAUUUGGUUCUGUUCCUGUUGUCAUUAGUGCAUUAGUUCAUUAGUCAAUUAUCAGUUAACCCUAUGCACCUGUAUGUCCCUUUUUUACUGCCUUAAGAUCUCUUCUUGGUUGUUUUAGUUGCCGGUUAUUAUUGUUGUGAAAGCUUGUGUUCCCUUCUGUCUUGGAUGAACCUUUAUCAUCUGGAGAUCUUAUUAAAAGUCUAUAUUGUUAUCUUCUUGUUCGUGCUCUUGACGUAAGCGUGACAGCCAUACAGGUUGAGAACAAC